ensembl:processed_transcript uncharacterized LOC110297540
GAGCUGUGCGGCGCGCUGAGCAGGAAUGGCAAUGUGGACCUCUGAUGGAACAUCUGGUGGGAUCUCACAGUCAGUUCUGUGGCAAAGGAGGAUGAAGACUUAAAGAGGACUCAACAGGAAGCUGGAUAACAGAAAGAGAGCAAUGUAAGCAGUUUUUUGUGUGCAUGUGGUCCCAUUACAAGGAAUACUCAAUGGCAAGUGAGCACUAAAGAUCCCUCAACCCACACGUUGAAUGUAGAGUUCCCUGAAAGCAAUUGUAGAGGAGUGGGUGGGAGAUCUGAAGUCAGGGCAUUGCUUCUUCUAGGUAUCUGAGGAGGAUGGUUUUUGAUAUCUGUGGGAGCUAGUGGUCCAACACAGGGUUUAUAAUUGUCAUUUAGGUCACAUUUGGUGGACUCUGGUUCCCCCAUCUUAAGUGCUGAGUCAGCGGCCUAACAGGGCAGCUUUAACUGUUUGUUUGUUGUAGGUGCUAGAAUAGAAGACCAGAAAAUGAAAGAUAUGAAAAAAAGGUAAGUGAAACUAAAGGAAUUGUAGAUGCUAAACAGGCUUGGCUUUGUUG